CACUGAAGUAGUCGAACCUCUUUGGAGCAAUAGGUGAAUUCUACGAAGAAGACUUGAGCACUACUGCAGAGGGGAGGUUCGGGAGGGUCUAAUGGAUGUCAACGGAUCACUACCAGUUCAUCAGUGACAGGUAGAAUAGAAGAGCCCUUCGGACAUCCAGGGAAUGCAGAGCCUUUUCAAGAGCUGAGCUCGGAGAGCUGAAGCAUGUAUGUCGAACCGUUGUCUUGUAGGAGGCCAUAAGGCCCAGGAGGCGUUGAAUCUGUCUUGCACGCUGCACUGGACUGGACUGGAGCUGAUGUACAAGAUCCGC